rnacentral:rRNA from 1 species
CCUACGUGAGGCAGCAGUGAGGAAUAUUGGUCAAUGGACGCAAGUCUGAACCAGCCAUGCCGCGUGCAGGAUGACGGCUCUAUGAGUUGUAAACUGCUUUUGUACGAGGGUAAAGCCCGAUACGUGUAUCGGUUUGCAUGUAUCGUACGAAUAAGGAUCGGCUAACUCCGUGCCAGCAGCCGCGGUAAUACGGAGGAUCCGAGCGUUAUCCGGAUUUAUUGGGUUUAAAGGGUGCGUAGGCGGUUUGAUAAGUUAGAGGUGAAAUGUCGGGGCUCAACCCCGAAACUGCCUCUAAUACUGUUGGACUAGAGAAUGGUUGCGGUAGGCGGAAUGUAUGGUGUAGCGGUGAAAUGCUUAGAGAUCAUACAGAACACCGAUUGCGAAGGCAGCUUGCCGAACUAUAUCUGACGUUGAGGCACGAAAGCGUGGGUAGCGAACAGGAUUAGAUACCCGAGUAGUC